rnacentral:pre_miRNA from 1 species
UAAUGAUGAUGGUGAUGAUGAUGAUGAUGAUGAUGAUGAUGAUGAUAAUGUUGAAGAUCAUCAUCAUCAUCAUCAUCAUCGUCAUUAUUAUUAUCA